GGCCCGGGGCUCCCCCCGCCCCACCCCACCCCACUACCCAGUGCGCGCGGCUCUCCUCAACUCCCCGCCCGGGGCCACUUCCAGCCGCGUGCACAGGGGACACUCCUCUGCUCCCCCGUGUGCGGGCCGCCGAGUGCACCGGUUGUACCGCUGGUGACACGCGUCCGCCGCCGCCGCCACCGCCGCCGCCCUUGACCUAUGUGCGCACUUCUCGCCUCAGACGGGCGGCACGGCACGUUUCCCAGCCCUUCUCUGCCUCGCCAGGAUUCUGGGGCUCCAGGCGUUGGUGUUCCUGGGCCUCAGGCUUCCAGACUCAAGCUGAAAUACACCACCCACCGGCUUCCAGUUUUCCAGUUUUCAGAGGACAGAUUGUGGGACUUCUCAGCUUCCAUAAUUGUGUCCGAAGUGCCUAGAACAAUGACCUGUAUGUGGGAGAUAUUCAAGAGACAUUUCUUGAAUGAAUACAUGAAUGAAUGAAUGGCUCUCAAGUCAAGCUGCCUGGGUUCACAGUCUGCUCCUGCCGUCAGCUAGAGAUGUGCCGUCUUCCAGGAUCUGGAACUAGCAGGAUCUGGAACCAGCAGGAUCUGGAACUAGCAGGACCUGGAACUAGCAAAUGAUGGACUCCAGUGCCUCUGGGCCUACUUUUCCAGGGUGAUUUGUAGGACCUCACACGUGUAGGGAAGGGAACCCGGGGAGUCGCAACACCCACUUUCAAACCCCGGCCUCAUCACCUGCUGGUGUCUUUGGACCCCUGAUUCAUCCUCUGUCGAACGUGGAGAGGCAUGCCUGGCCCCGCCUUCUUGACCAAGGUGUCUGGGAACUGACAUAUGAGAAAUGGCUGUAUCAUAUCCUGUUAUGUGUGAGGGCCAUUGCUGACUUGAAGGACUUCGUAGACUUGAGGCUGUUUCCAGUGUUUCACAAUUGUGCAUAGCACUGCAAUGAAUCUUUCUGUAUGCUUCCCAGGCCUUGCCUCCAGCACGACGGACGCAUCUCAGGGGCAGCAGCUGCACUUGUCUGAGCCCCCUUUGCAGAUGCAGCCCCGGGCACACUUGGCACAGCCCGGGGGGCAGCAAGGACAGCAGCCUGGAAGGGUCAGAGGACAGACAGAUGCAAAUUCCUCCUAGAAGAGAAGGCAGAGUGACAAAUGUAAGGACUGAGGUCGAACGGGGACACAAGGCAGCGGAUUGCUCUUCGGUCCUGUGUAAAGUGCUCUCCUGAUGAUGUGGCUUCAAGCUGCUCCCAAAGCUGCCACCCUCACGCCCUCUCCACGCAGAGAUUCUGGAGUGUCUACUGAUGAUGCUUCCUCCAGGAAGUGAUCUCCCCCUUUCUCCCCAGGAAGAAAUCUUUUCUUCUGGGACCCCUCAGUG